CAGCUGCCUAGGCUAAUCAGGCACAAGAGCGGCUAUCGUGGAAACUUUUUACGGCUUCGAGGACAACAUCAGCAGCCAUCACUGACACCGGUGAGCGGCGCGAAGGCACCAAGCGCAGUCGUUCAACUGCCACCGUGGCGGAGGGGCAAGGCAGCAACGGGGAUGUGCAAGCGUGGCAAGGGCCGCCAUUACCGCAGCAUGGCGUCGGAACCGACGAGCCUGUGAGCCAGCCUGGAGCCGCCAGGGUCUCCUACAUUCGACCACCAACACUCGUCCUAGAAGCGACGAGGAAAGCUGAGAGCAUGUCGGACGAAGCAAGCUGUGCGAAAAAGGUGAGAGUGGAAGAUCUGAUUGACCACAUGAAUGAGAAAACAUCGACCUACACCCUCAGCUAAGAGGAAGACAUUGAAUGUGAUGAGGAGGCAGGUUCUUUCACUCUUGUGGCAUAUAAUAAAAGAAGGUUCGAGGGGAUACCUGUGGUAUUCCGACCAACUGAAGAAAUGAAAACGUUUUGGAAAGUGAACCGAAAUGUUGUAGCCUCAGAAAUGGUUGCAAAAGAGAAAGCAGGUCCUUUUCGAGUGAACGAAGACGGAAGUUUCUCAGUCAUUGUGAGUUCACUCGCCUCAGCCAAGAGUUUGUUGUCAUGAGUACAGGUGGCUCGCUUACCAGUGAAACCAUUUAUUUCGGAGUCAUAAAUGCGAAAUGUUGGCAAAAUCAGAAAUGUACCUCUAGAAUACAAAGAAGAACAAUUAACAGAAUAUUUAAGAGAGGCAGGAGUGACAUCAGCUAGAUGCCAGACCCGUUACAUACGUCAAGAAGAUGGCACCAUGGAAUUGCGCCCUGUGAGAAGUGUAGUUUUGUAAUUUCGCCAUGACCGACUAAUCCAAGAGUGAGUGUAUCUUGGCUUCUCUAGCCAUCCAGCCGAGGAAUAUCUGGGGUUAGCCGGACGCUUCUACAACUGCCAGAGAUUUGGUAACUUAGCGAAAAACUGCCGAGGAACAAGGCGCUGGAAAAUAUGUGCAGAAGACCACCAUCACAAAGACCGCAAGUCUAUAAGACAACUUAAGCGCGCGAGUUGCAACUGGCCCCACACUGCAUAAUUUUAUGGAUGCCCGCAGCACAAAGCGGCCUCUCUUCAAUAUCAACACGACAUUAUCUAUGGUCGCACACAACAGCGUGGUGCACCGGAACCAAACAUGAAUACGAUGAACCCAGCACAAUCACCUCGACCACAAGCGUCUAUGCAUCAGGACACUUCUAUGCAAUAUGCAAAAGUCGCAAGGGGACCACAACACCGAGGGCAAAGUUUUGGGACAUCACUAAGCCAACAUCAAACUCGACAAGAAGUUGAAGAGCAAUCACAUGGCUAACAAACGAUGAAACUCGAGCACACCGCAACCAGCCAAUAACCUCCCGGAGGUCAAGACCGUAUCGUCGAUGGAACAAGUGAUAUAGCAAAACACAUCAGCCACUGCGCAGGCGGGGCAUGAUGCUACACUUCGAGCACCAUCCGUUGGCGGUGCAAGGAACUCAGCGGCACGCGCAGCGCGCGUACUGCGCUAUGAUUGGUUGGCCUAUUCGUCAAGGGAACAGCCAGGCCGCAGCCACGGUCACUAAACCUGGUGAGGGUCGAAUAUCUAUCAAUGGAGCUCCAGGUCGAAUUCAUCAAGAAAGAAGAAGCUACCUAACCUCACAGCUACAAAUGGAACGCCGUCUUAGAGAUUCUUGGAGCAUGGUUCAUGAAUUCGUACGUGCGCAAGUCUACAAACGCCCUUCUGUAUUUCUUGAAGGUGACUGGACUGUACGAACGCUUGUGACAGCGGACAUUCCUAUGUGAACGCCUGCACAAUGAGUGACUCUCUAUUAUUUUUUUCUUAUCCUUCUUUUUUAUGUAUAACUUCGCCCUUUGCCCUCCACAAGUGUAGGGUAGCCAACCGAGCGCAUUCUCGGUUAACUUCUCUACAUUUUCGCCUUCGUUUCUCUCUCUCUCUAUCUCUCUCUCUCUCACUCUCACUUUCGCGUGUAGUGGGCCGAUAUCAGGGCGUUUGUACUAGCGUUUCUCUCAACAAGCAGAAUAGAUUUCCACAGAUCGAAUUUACACGCUGUAAUAAGUGAGCCGGCCAGGACCAUUUGCCGCAAUCGGUGUCCAUUGGGCAUUCCAGCCGUAAGCCGCCAAAUCUAAAAGUAAAACUCUCGAUUGAUU